UGAACAACACAAGAACUUUGCACAAAGUUCUCAUCAUGUUGUGGAUGACAUCAUUUCCAAGUUUCCUCGUGACUUUGUAGAGUUAAGAGAGAAUACACCAAAAAUUAAAAGAUCACAUUUGGACCUAAACUGUUUCUCUGGGCUGUGCUUGACCUUGGUUUGUUUGGCCUGUGCUACAUCUGCAACCCUGCUCUCCUUGGCCACAUAGAUCUUCUUGGAGAAGCUGCAUCUGCCACCCUGCUGGAUGAGUGCGAUCCAUGGUGUACCUGCAAGGGUGAUGGCGGCCAGGAUGCUG